rnacentral:rRNA from 1 species
AGCGAACGCUGGCGGCAGGCCUAACACAUGCAAGUCGAACGAACCUUUCGGGGUUAGUGGCGGACGGGUGAGUAACACGUGGGAACGUGCCUUUAGGUUCGGAAUAACUCAGGGAAACUUGUGCUAAUACCGAAUGUGCCCUUCGGGGGAAAGAUUUAUCGCUUUAGAGCGGCCCGCGUCUGAUUAGCUAGUUGGUUGAGGUAAUGGCUCACCAAGGCGACGAUCAGUAGCUGGUCUGAGAGGAUGAUCAGCCACAUUGGGACUGAGACACGGCCCAAACUCCUACGGGAGGCAGCAGUGGGGAAUCUUGCGCAAUGGGCGAAAGCCUGACGCAGCCAUGCCGCGUGAAUGAUGAAGGUCUUAGGAUUGUAAAAUUCUUUCACCGGGGACGAUAAUGACGGUACCCGGAGAAGAAGCCCCGGCUAACUUCGUG